rnacentral:rRNA from 1 species
AACGAACGCUGGCGGCAGGCUUAACACAUGCAAGUCGAGCGCCCCGCAAGGGGAGCGGCAGACGGGUGAGUAACGCGUGGGAACGUACCCUUUGCUACGGAAUAGCUCCGGGAAACUGGAAUUAAUACCGUAUGUGCCCUACGGGGGAAAGAUUUAUCGGCAAAGGAUCGGCCCGCGUUAGAUUAGGUAGUUGGUGGGGUAAUGGCCUACCAAGCCUACGAUCUAUAGCUGGUCUGAGAGGAUGAUCAGCCACACUGGGACUGAGACACGGCCCAGACUCCUACGGGAGGCAGCAGUGGGGAAUCUUGGACAAUGGGCGCAGGCCUGAUCCAGCCAUGCCGCGUGAGUGAAGAAGGCCUUAGGGUUGUAAAACUCUUUCGCCGGUGAAGAUAAUGACGGUAGCCGGAGAAGAAGCCCCGGCUAACUUCGUGCCAGCCGCCGCAGUAAUAC